UACAGCAUCUAUUCUCUCAUUGCUUGUGAGAGGUCUAAAAAAAAGGUCUAGCUUCGCAACUGAAUAUUCAUGACUUUCCUGUUUUGUUGCAGAUUAAGGCAGAAGAGUUGAAAUUUUUCGACCCUCAAUUAAAGUAAGGUCACUCCCGGAGAAACAACAAAGAGUUUCAUCAAACAUUAUGGCUCCUUGGAACAUCAUAAGGUGCGUCGCUAGAAUCAGAGUGUGACCAAAGCCAUAAGGACGUGGUUAAAGACGUUCCUGCUUUUUGUGACUGAUGUUAAACGUCCACAGUCCUUAUUUUAGCCGCAUUUCAGAUAUUUUCAUUUAGUGUACAAUUCUUAAUUAACUGAUGUCUACAGAACCACAGAUACGAUUCCCCUAUUGGUAACGUCAAAUAGGCUACAUUUAAGCAUGCAACUGGGAUAUAACAUCUUUAUUUGUUAACAACACAGAAAUAAUAACUAACUACAGAACAGUAUGAAUAGUUGAUUGAACCAAACACAAAUCUUUUCAAACCCCCAAAUGAUCUUCCAACCCGUCCCAAGAACUCGUUAUUUAAUUGAUUAACUGCU